rnacentral:rRNA from 1 species
UACGAAGGGGGCUAGCGUUGUUCGGAUUUACUGGGCGUAAAGCGCACGUAGGCGGCUCUUUAAGUCAGAGGUGAGAUCCCAAGGCUCAACCUUGGAACUGCCUUUGAUACUGGGGAUCUUGAGUCCGGGAGAGGUGAGUGGAACUGCGAGUGUAGAGGUGAAAUUCGUAGAUAUUCGCAAGAACACCAGUGGCGAAGGCGGCUCACUGGCCCGGUACUGACGCUGAGGUGCGAAAUCGUGGGGAGCAAACAGG